GGCUCAGUAGCUCAGUGGUUAGAGCAGGGGACUCAUAAGCCCAAGGUCGGCAGUUCAAAUCUGCCCUUGAGCCA
rnacentral:tRNA from 1 species